rnacentral:rRNA from 1 species
UGGUCAAGUUAUUAAGGGUGCAGGGCGGAUGCCUUGGCACUAGGAGCCGAUGAAGGACGUGAUAAGCUGCGAUAAGCUUCGGGGAGUUGCACGUAAACUUUGAUCCGAAGAUUUCCGAAUGAGGAAACUCACUUAGAGUAAUGUCUAAGUAUCAUUAAGUGAAUACAUAGCUUAAUGAGGGGAACUCAGGGAACUGAAACAUCUAAGUACCUGAAGGAAGAGAAAGAAAUUCGAUUCCGUAAGUAGCGGCGAGCGAACGCGGAUUAGCACAAACCAAUAAAGUUUUCUUUGUUGGGGUUGCGGACAUAUCAUAACGAAGAGGUAUCGUAAUUGAAGAGGUUUGGAAAGACCCACCACAGAAGGUAAUAGUCCUGUAUGUUAAACGAGAAGACUUUAGAUAUGAUACAGAGUACCACGGGACACGUGAAACCCUGUGGGAAGCAGGAGGGACCACCCUCCAAGGCUAAAUACUACCUAGUGACCGAUAGCGUAUAGUACCGUGAGGGAAAGGUGAAAAGAACCCCG